rnacentral:rRNA from 1 species
AGGACGAACGCUGGCGGCGUGCCUAACACAUGCAAGUCGAACGGGGUAGCAAUACCCAGUGGCAGACGGGUGAGUAACACGUGGUCAACCUACCUCUGUGUGGGGGAUAACUAGCCGAAAGGUUAGCUAAAUACCGCAUACGAUCGUUUUGAGGCAUCUCGAGACGAUGAAAGGAGCAAUCCGCACGGAGAGGGGACUGCGUCCCAUUAGUUAGUUGGUGGGGUAACGGCCUACCAAGACUCCGAUGGGUAGCUGGCUUGAGAGAGCGACCAGCCACACUGGAACUGAGAAACGGUCCAGACUCCUACGGGAGGCAGCAGUGAGGAAUUUUCCGCAAUGGGCGAAAGCCUGACGGAGCGACGCCGCGUGUGGGAUGAAGGCCUUCGGGCGUAAACCACUGUCGAAGGGGACGAUAAUGACGGUACCCUUGGAGGAAGCCCGGCUAACUACGUGCCAGCAGCCGC